rnacentral:lncRNA from 1 species
GGACAACAGAGGCAUACAUAUGUUUAAAGCAUACAGUACCUGGACUCCAUGAACGGGGAGGAUCUGCUUCUGACAGGGGAGGUGAGCUGGCGCCCUCUAGUGGAGAAGAAUCCUCAGAGCAUCCUGAAGCCCCAUUCUCCGACUUACAACGACGAGGGACUUUGAUGGGCUGGGCCCUCCGCACGGCCCGCCAGCUGGCUUCGAGGAACCUCCAGGAGAGAAGUGCCUGUUGGUCCAGGACCCUGCAGAAAGUGGCCUGAACUGACCUCUGAACAGCAUCUGUCAAAUACCUGGCCCCAUUUGUGU